ACCCAAUUAACAUAAGUGUUAAAUAAGAACCCUAAGUUUUCUUCCUCUCAUGCCCGCCGAGUUCUCCUCGUUCCCGAGCCCUCACGCGACGCCGCCCAACUCCACUGCCGAACUCCUUCCUUCCCUCUCCCUCUCGCGAUCUUCUCACCAAAACCACCAAGCCACAGCCGCCGGUCUCCUCUCUUCCUCGCGUGCGGGCACCACAGCAGCAAGCGAUCUUCUUCUCUCCCUCAUGCGGGCACCACAACCGGCGAUCUUGCUCCCUCGCACGAGCACCCAAGACACCGCACCACCGCGUGAUACCACCUUCUUCCGCGCCACUUUCCCCUCCUCUGCCCAGUGCCGCUGACGCCACCUGAUGCCACGCUGCCCAUCGGACUAUUUAGGUAGCAGGUAGAUGAGUCAAGGAUGCUUGGAGAGCCCUAGCUGCCAGUCCCACUACACUCUCGAGGACGGAUUUCUUUUCGGUCUUGUUUCUGUUAGUGGUAUAUUGAUUUUUGUUAUUUUAUAAGUUGAUGUGGGUUUGGAGUCUAGUCUGGUGGUUACAGGUUUUGUGGUUAAUGACUUUGUUAGUGUCAUACAUUCGUAUUUCUUUGUGAUUUAUGCUGUGUUUAUUUCCA